rnacentral:pre_miRNA from 1 species
AAUCGUUUACGCAUAGCGCAGUGUUUUGUUUGUUUUUUUUUCUUGAACAUUAACCAAUCCAAGGAAAAAAAAACAAACAAAACACUGCGCUAUGCGUAAACGAUUG